GUACUCGCUUCAGCAGCACAUAUACUAAAAUUGGAAUGAUACAGAGAAGAUUAGUGUGGCCCAUGCGCAAGGAUGACACGCAAAUUCGUGAAGCAUUUCAUAUUUUU
rnacentral:snRNA from 1 species